AGGUUUUGCACACUUUGUACACACCGUUAAUUAGCGCACGGCUCUCACCGAGAGCCAUUCCCCUAAGCCCGAAACAAGGACCUGGUUUCGGGCUUCUUUUA
rnacentral:sRNA from 1 species